rnacentral:rRNA from 1 species
UACAGAGGUCUCAAGCGUUGUUCGGAUUCAUUGGGCGUAAAGCGCGCGUAGGCGGGUUGGUAAGUCCGCUGUGAAAGCCCGGGAGCUUAACUCCGGAGGGUCGGUGGAUACUGCCAGUCUUGAAGGUGCUAGGGGGAGAUGGAAUUACCGGUGUAGCGGUGAAAUGCGUAGAGAUCGGGAAGAACAUCAGUGGCGAAGGCGGCCUGCUGGGCUGUUGCUGACGCUGAGGCGCGGACAGCGUGGGGAGCAAACG